CAUUUGUGGAAACACCUGCUCCUCAUUGUGUCACCUGUCUGUGCUUGUUUCCUCCUCCUUAUGUAAAAGAUGGUUCCAAUAAUCGGGGGGAUGGCCAGGAGAAGGAAGAAGACAACCAGUCGGACCGGCAACUCUCGAUCAAAACACUGUGCAGGAUGCUGGCAGAGAUGUGUCAAAAAGACUACCAUAAAGAGAAGGCUACACCAGCACAACCACAGAGGGUUCUCCACAACAUGCAAACCACUGCUAAGCCUCAGGAACAGAAGAUCCAAGUUAAUGUUCGCUAAAAAGUACAUGAAAAAACUGAGUUCUGGAACAAAGUCUUAUGGACAGAUAAGAUGAGUAUUCACCUUAAUUUACCAAAGUGAUGGAAAGAAGUGUGGAACUAGGAAUAUUGAUAGGAAAGAUUAAAGUAAGAAUUCAACUUCAUUUUCUGUUGAAAGACCACUAGGGAAAUUAAAAUCUUUAAGAACGCAGAGCAGUUCAGAUGUCAAUGAAAAAACUGUGAACAACUGUAACUAUAAAGAACUGUAAAGCUAAUACUGAAAAUAUCAGAAAAGGUAUUGCUGAAACACAGUACUGCCUAUCAGCCAUAAAUGGAAUAUAAAAAUUGUGCAUCAGGGUUUUAGCGCUCUUAGUUUAAACUUUAAAGAUUAAACUAUGCAAUUUAGGCUUCCACGUGGAAGUAACUGUAUCUGUGUGGAACAAAUUCUUAAUUUUUAACCUUUCACGACUUAAAUUUAACCAUAAAUUAUGUUUGCAGCUAAAAUAUUCAAUGUGCACUAAAUAAAUAAUUUUGAUUUAAAAGUACAUACUGUCCUGAUACUAUUAUGAAUGGCAGGUAACUUCUGUUGUCUUCUAACGAAAAGGAAAGCCAGCUCUUACCAGGGAAGCUGGUGGUGUAACUGUGUGAGACAAGCUCUCCUGCACUGGAGUACACUGUAGGUUCCAAUCCAA